GGAAGGAUGGCCGAGCGGUUAUGGCGUGUGACUCAAGCGAUUAGCUUCUUCACUUCUAAAGUGGGGUUUCUCAUGGGCUUUGCCCGCGGGGGUUCGAAUCCCCCUCCUUUCA
rnacentral:tRNA from 1 species